rnacentral:rRNA from 1 species
UAAUACGAGGGGUGCAAGCGUUGCUCGGAAUUAUUGGGCGUAAAGGGUAGGUAGGUGGUCUUAUUUGUCUGGGGUGAAAUCCUUGAGCUUAACUCAAGAAGUGCCCCAGAAACGGUGAGACUCGAGUCUUGGAGAGGGUCGUGGAAUUCCCGGUGUAGCGGUGAAAUGCGUAGAGAUCGGGAGGAACACCAGCGGCGAAGGCGGCGACCUGGACAAGCACUGACACUCAACUACGAAAGCGUGGGGAGCAAACAGGAUUAGAUACCCUGGUAGUCCACGCUGUAAACGAUGGGUACUAGAUUAGGCGGGUCUUGACCCCUGCCGAAUCGGCGCUAACGCACUAAGUACCCCGCCUGGGAAGUACGGUCGCAAGACUA